AGUUGGAAAACCGAAACAAAAAUCAUUCGAAUGUUAUCUUUAGCAGCAACUCCGGGACAUUCGCUGUCCAAUGCCAAGGCUAAUUCUCGGACCAGAAAGACGCACCCGUCUUUGGGUCUGGUGCGCUGCAACAAUCUGCAUGAUCAUAGCUAUCGCGGUGAUAAUCACGGGGGUCGUCGUAUUCGCAGGCUACAUGAUUAUGAAACCGAGAAUCCCUUCUAUGAGUGUCAACUACGCUUUUCUAGACAGGCUAAGCUACGAUCAGUCAGGACAAGUGACCAUCCAGAUAUCUCUAAACAUCAAGGCAGAGAAUGAAAACAUGAAGGCAGAUGCAAGCUUCUCCAAUAACAGGAUGCGUGGGAAGACAUGGUCGCAUCAGUGAAACAGGAUAAAGUAUCAUUUAGUCUGAAAGGCGAUGCAAGAACUAGAUGGAGGGUAGGUAUUAUAGGGCCUGUCAAGUUCUGGACUCACUUAUCCUGUCAACUUAAUUUCUUCGCUAGCAAUGGCAGCAGUAUAAAAACUGAUUGCAGUUCCAAGUCUAGAUAAUCUAAAAAUUCAUCCAGUUAUUUCUUUUUGCUGUCCUUCUAGGGAUAGUUCAUAAACUUUUUUAGUAUUUGUCAUUUGAAACUGUAUGUAUAUUACCAAAGCAUAUCAAGUACAGUAUAAUUUAAAUC